CCACUGAACAGUUAGAAGUUACUCAAGACUUGAGCAAAGAAUUUCAUACGGAGGAAGAAAAUGUUCUCAUUCAUUGCAGAUGGAUAACAACUAAGUUGGGGCUCCGAAAUUCUCAAGGAUCUUUAGAGAAAAGCCAGAAAUCAUUUUGACUGGGGCUUCUGUGCUUUUGCCAAACCUCCAGCCCUCUUGGGACUUAAGCUGACAUGAAAUUGUCGUUGUAAUGCUUUCAGGUGGGCUUGGCCUUGUCAUUUCUUUCAAACAGGAUGGAACAAUGUUGUGGAACAACAAACCCACUAUCAUUCAGAUAGAGAGCUCACCAAUCCUGCUGACUGCAGUACACCCGUCAACUUAUCGUGUCUGUUCCAUAGAUUGCAAGUCAGCCAUACCAUAGUCAUCAUCACUUCUAGUUCUGAAAGACUGAAGCAGCAGAUAUCAAAAAGGAGUGGAAGUUCAGGAGCUGCUGAGACUCUACAGCUAACACUUCCUGAGGCUCUGCUCUUCAAGAUAUUUCAGCUAUAACUUGUCAACUGGAUAAGGAAGAAGGCCCAUUGUAUACUUCAACUUUGAAGAAGGUUAAAUGUGACUUUUUAUCCUUUUCUGAUGUUCAUACCCUGAUAAAAUUUUGUAAUAUACUGUCUAUUAUCUUUUUCCCCAAUAAAUUCUGUUACUGUCUUUAUUUUCA